CCUUAAAGCCUCUGCAGUUCACUUGUGUGUUUCUGAAGAUAUGCUUAAGAACUAAGAGUCUCCUCCCAUCUGUCUCGACUUACUGUUAGACUGUCAGCCAAUUGACAAGGACCAUUAAAAAGUAAUGAAGAAACAGACGGCCACACGGUGCGGUUAUUAAAAGAGAAACACCUCCUUAUGUCCUAAAUAUAAUAAAUAUAAAUAAUAGAAAACAAUACAUCUGCCAGCAGAACAACACACAAAGCAAAUGAGAAGAGUCAGCUCUUUCAGCGUACAAGGAAAAUGGCCCUGUCUUUCUGUAUUUGUCGAUUGGAAUCAAUAGAUGACUGCACUGUCACAUCAUUUCCCCCCCGCAUCUCAGACACAGCUGUUCUUCUCAGACAUACGCAAGCGACAGAAAGAACAUUUUAAUGUAAAAACCACAGGCUGUGAUAAAUACUGAUGAAAAUGUCUUUCUAACUUUUUUCAUGGAAUGCCCAGAAAUGUGAUACAUGGCCAUAGAAAGCAAAAGAGGCAUUUGUUUGUACACAGUGUUCACUGAUUUCAUUGACAUGUCCAUUUGAUACGGUUGUGUUGUUAUCUACACAUACUGCCCUUGUAGAGGGUAAGGAGACACUUUUGGACUGUUUUUCUGUUGUGUAGCCAAAUACAUUCAGACACGCGAUGGAUCAUGAUCAAUGUGGAGGUGAAAGGCUAUUUGAUGUCCCUGAAGAUAAGUCAGAAUUGUUAUAAUAUUAAUAAUAUUAUAUUAUAUUAUUGCCUACUAAACCUUUUGAAAAGCACAGUUCUAUAUUCCCAUUUGCUAAUCCUAGUCUAGCCUAUAGUCCAGUCUGUUAGGUCCCUGGACGUUCCUCAGACACGUUCCUUUUGUCUGAGCGGAGCCGUGGCGAAGAGAGAUGGAGAGAUGAGAUGAAAGAGAAUCACCAUUCUGAGAUCUGAAAACUGUCUUGUGUGGUUUGUGUCCUGCACUGUGUUCAGAGAUGAAAUGCAGAAAAGAGAGAAGAUGAAAUGCAUCAGUCCUAGCUCUGUUGUGUGCAUUGUCAGGGAAGGAGAAGCAUUCAUGUCAGUGGGUAGUUAGGAAAAUCCUAAAACAGAUUGAUCUGGGGCAAAGUGUGUGAUAAGAUACACUGAUGAUAAUGAAUUAUUGAUUAUGUGAUUGAUUGAUUAUUGAUUUUCUUUCUACAAAAUUGAUCUGGUCAGGUAAGGAAUCUAUAAUAAUCUAUGAAUUCUGAGGACACUUCACAGCUGGGUUUGUGUGAGAGUGCACAUGGGACUGUAAGGUUCACAAACACACACAAACACACACACACACACACACACACACACACACACACACACACAAACACACACACGGAGUGCACAUGGG
ensembl:lncRNA